UCAGGUAGGGAUACCCGCUGAACUUAAGCAUAUCAAUAAGCGGAGGAAAAGAAACCAACAGGGAUUACCUCAGUA
rnacentral:rRNA from 1 species